GCACUGGUAGUUCAGUGAUAGAAUUCUCACCUUCCAUGAGGAAGAUCUGGGUUAGACUCCCAGCCAAUGAC
rnacentral:tRNA from 1 species